rnacentral:rRNA from 1 species
GAUGAACGCUGGCGGCGUGCCUAAUACAUGCAAGUCGAGCGAACAGACGAGGAGCUUGCUCCUCUGACGUUAGCGGCGGACGGGUGAGUAACACGUGGAUAACCUACCUAUAAGACUGGGAUAACUUCGGGAAACCGGAGCUAAUACCGGAUAAUAUAUUGAACCGCAUGGUUCAAUAGUGAAAGACGGUUUUGCUGUCACUUAUAGAUGGAUCCGCGCCGCAUUAGCUAGUUGGUAAGGUAACGGCUUACCAAGGCAACGAUGCGUAGCCGACCUGAGAGGGUGAUCGGCCACACUGGAACUGAGACACGGUCCAGACUCCUACGGGAGGCAGCAGUAGGGAAUCUUCCGCAGUGGGCGAAAGCCUGACGGAGCAACGCCGCGUGAGUGAUGAAGGUCUUCGGAUCGUAAAACUCUGUUAUUAGGGAAGAACAAAUGUGUAAGUAACUAUGCUCGUCUUGACGGUACCUAAGCAGAAAGCCACGGCUAACUACGU